rnacentral:rRNA from 1 species
CCUACGGGGGGCAGCAGUGGGGAAUAUUGGACAAUGGGGGGAACCCUGAUCCAGCCAUGCCGCGUGUGUGAAGAAGGCCCUCGGGUGGUAAAGCACUUUCAGUGAGGAAGAACGCCUGGUGGUUAAUACCCAUCAGGAAAGACAUCACUCACAGAAGAAGCACCGGCUAACUCCGUGCCAGCAGCCGCGGUAAUACGGAGGGUGCGAGCGUUAAUCGGAAUUACUGGGCGUAAAGCGCGCGUAGGUGGCUUGAUAAGCCGGUUGUGAAAGCCCCGGGCUCAACCUGGGAACGGCAUCCGGAACUGUCAAGCUAGAGUGCAGGAGAGGAAGGUAGAAUUCCCGGUGUAGCGGUGAAAUGCGUAGAGAUCGGGAGGAAUACCAGUGGCGAAGGCGGCCUUCUGGACUGACACUGACACUGAGGUGCGAAAGCGUGGGUAGCAAACAGGAUUAGAUACCCGGGUAGUC